AUUGAACGCUGGCGGCAUGCCUAACACAUGCAAGUCGAACGAGACCUUCGGGUCUAGUGGCGCACAGGUGCGUAACGCGUGGGAACCUGCCUUUAGGUUCGGAAUAACUUCCCGAAAGGGAUGCUAAUACCGGAUAAUGUCUUCGGACCAAAGAUUUAUCGCCUUUAGAUGGGCCCGCGUAAGAUUAGGUAGUUGGUGGGGUAAAGGCCUACCAAGCCGACGAUCUUUAGCUGGUCUGAGAAGAUGAUCAGCCACACUGGGACUGAGACACGGCCCAGACUCCUACGGGAGGCAGAAGUGGGGAAUAUUGGACAAUGGGCGAAAGCCUGAUCCAGCAAUGCCGCGUGAGUGAUGAAGGCCUUAGGGUUGUAAAGCUCUUUUACCAGGGAUGAUAAUGACAGUACCUGGAGAAUAAGCUCCGGCUAACUCCGUGCCAGCAGCCGCCGUAAGAC
rnacentral:rRNA from 1 species